rnacentral:rRNA from 1 species
GACGAACGCUGGCGGCGUGCUUAACACAUGCAAGUCGAGCGGUAAGGCCCUUUCGGGGGUACACGAGCGGCGAACGGGUGAGUAACACGUGGGUGACCUGCCCUCAGCUCUGGGAUAAGCCUGGGAAACCGGGUCUAAUACUGGAUAUGACUCCAUGACGCAUGUUGUGGGGUGGAAAGCCUUGUGCGGCUGAGGAUGGGCCCGCGGCCCAUCAGCUUGUUGGUGGGGUGANGGCCUACCAAGGCGACGACGGGUAGCCGGCCUGAGAGGGCGACCGGCCACACUGGGACUGAGACACGGCCCAGACUCCUACGGGAGGCAGCAGUGGGGAAUCUUGCGCAACGGGCGAAAGCCUGACGCAGCGACGCCGCGUGAGGGAUGACGGCCU